AACGAACGCUGGCGGCAGGCCUCAAACAUGCAAGUCUAGGGGGUGUAGCAAUACAUCACCGGCGGACGGGUGCGUAACGCGUGGGAAUAUACCUAUCGAUUCGGAACAACUGAGGGAAACUUCAGCUAAUACCGAAUACGUCCUAACGGAGAAAGAUUUAUCGUCGAUAGAUUAGCCCGCGUUCGAUUAGCUAGUUGGUGGGGUAACGGCCCACCAAGGCGACGAUCGAUAGCUGUUCUGAGAGGAAGAUCAGCCACACUGGGACUGAGACACGGCCCAGACUCCUACGGGAGGCAGCAGUUGGGAAUCUUGGACAAUGGGGGAAACCCUGAUCCAGCCAUGCCGCGUGAGUGAUGAAGGCCUUCGGGUUGGUUAAAACUCUUUCGUCGCACGACGAUAAUGACGGUAGUGCGAGAAGAAGCUCCGGCUAACUCCGUGCCAGCAGCCGCGGUAAU
rnacentral:rRNA from 1 species